AUUCCACGUUAUAUGGAUUUGUAUAUUUAUUGAUGGUAUAUUGGAAAUGAAUGAUGAUCUUCUACUUUUUAAGUAGUUAAGCGUGCAAAAUAAUCUGUCAAUCCACUGAAUCUAUCUAUGUGGAGAAACUCUAUGUCUGCAAACCUGACGAUUUUCUUUAUACUUGGAUUAAUACUAAUCAUAUAUAACGUGUAUUUGCAUUUGCUAUUAAAUUGGAU
rnacentral:sRNA from 1 species